rnacentral:lncRNA from 1 species
CUUCAUUAAUACAUAUAUUUUCAUAUCAUGUUAAAGCUCUUCUUAAGAAUAAUUUUUCUCUGUUGUAUGUUAUGGAUAAUUGUGUAUGUUCUAUAUUGUAUGGUUUUAAUUGUUCUAGCCAUUUUAUUCCUAAUAUUAUGUCUGCUUUUUGCAUUUCUUCCUUUAUUUCAAAUUCUAUUUUUAUUUUUCUAACUUCUAUUGUUAUUU